rnacentral:rRNA from 1 species
GACGAACGCUGGCGGCGUGCCUAAUACAUGCAAGUAGAACGCUGAAGGAGGAGCUUGCUUCUCCGGAUGAGUUGCGAACGGGUGAGUAACGCGUAGGUAACCUGCCUGGUAGCGGGGGAUAACUAUUGGAAACGAUAGCUAAUACCGCAUAACAGUAGAUGUUGCAUGACAUUUGCUUAAAAGGUGCAAUUGCAUCACUACCAGAUGGACCUGCGCUGUAUUAGCUAGUUGGUGGGGUAACGGCUCACCAAGGCGACGAUACAUAGCCGACCUGAGAGGGUGAUCGGCCACACUGGGACUGAGACACGGCCCAGACUCCUACGGGAGGCAGCAGUAGGGAAUCUUCGGCAAUGGACGGAAGUCUGACCGAGCAACGCCGCGUGAGUGAAGAAGGUUUUCGGAUCGUAAAGCUCUGUUGUAAGAGAAGAACGAGUGUGAGAGUGGAAAGUUCACACUGUGACGGUAUCUUACCAGAAAGGGACGGCUAACUACGUGCCAGCAGCCGCGGUAAUACGUAGGUCCCGAGCGUUGUCCGGAUUUAUUGGGCGUAAAGCGAGCGCAGGCGGUUAGAUAAGUCUGAAGUUAAAGGCUGUGGCUUAACCAUAGUACGCUUUGGAAACUGUUUAACUUGAGUGCAAGAGGGGAGAGUGGAAUUCCAUGUGUAGCGGUGAAAUGCGUAGAUAUAUGGAGGAACACCGGUGGCGAAAGCGGCUCUCUGGCUUGUAACUGACGCUGAGGCUCGAAAGCGUGGGGAGCAAACAGG